CGCACAUUGCGCCUAAUAGUAUUCUGUUAGGCAUGCCUGUUCGAGCGUCAUUUCAACCCCCAAGCCCUACUUGCUUGACGUUGGGAAUUUACGGAGACGUAAUUCCUCAAAUAUAGUGGCGGAGCUAGGUCGUGCUCUAAGCGUAGUAACUGUACCCUCGCUUCUGUAGCCGGCCCAGGUCCUGCCGUAAAACCCCCCUAUAUUUUACUGGUUGACCUCGGAUCAGGUAGGAAUACCCGCUGAACUUAA
rnacentral:misc_RNA from 1 species